rnacentral:snRNA from 1 species
UCGAUCCUUUAGACCUUCGGAA